UUAAGAUUGGGGAAAUUAGCAAUUACAGCAUUUACUCUGUGUGUGCAUUCAAAUGGAAGUCUAACACAUGACCUUUGAAAUACACUCAUUCAUGAGGCAGUUUAAUAUGCUGAAGAAGAAAGGAAAAAGAUCUUUGUAUGUGCUUAGUUAACAGGUAUAGAAAUGGAAGCUAGGGGAAAAGAUAUGUAAAAACCCUCCUGUUGACUCAAAAAAGUUGAGCUGUAGAAAAGAACGUACCAAGCAGUAUGCUAGUCUCUGCUACUUGACUUAACAAGAACACAAAACAAAACAGGUUUUAACUCAUUGAAUAACAGAUAAAAAUUUGAGAUAUAUCUCAAUCUUUCUUUACUAUUUCAUCCUAUUGCUUGUUACACAGAUAUUAGGAAAAAUAAAAUAAAAGCUGUAUAUUGAAAUAAGAGUUUUAAAAUAAAAGACUCAAAUAAGUCUGUAUCUUCAAGAUAAAAGUUCAGUUAUUUUCCUGGUUAAAGACAAUAUUAGUUUGUAUCAUGAAAUUUUCCUCAUAGAACUUGUUAAACCUUUGUUUUCUCUAAGGCACAGGAAAUAAUAUGUGUAUGAAUUUUGAAGAGCUGCAUCUAAAAACUCACUUCUAUUUGUAAUAUACAAGACAAAAUAAACAGUGGCCAAUGCCUAUUAAAUAAGGGAUGGUUUUCAGCUAUGUGAAGUGUGGAAUUGUGUGUUUUGGUGACACUGACAACAAAGACAGCUGAAACAUUCCUCUUCUCCUUCCUAUCCCUGUGCUACUGCUCACCAUCUCCUGUCAGCUGGGGUGACAUCAUGUGUGUGAGGCUACAUAGUAAAAUGCAUUGCUCGAUGAUUCAGAUUGAAUUAGACAAUGAAAAAAAAAAAAAAAGUGAUUUUUCCCAUUUGUUUUCCUCUUCCAGGAUCAACUUUUAAGCAGAAGUCUGUAUCAGCACAAUUGGGUGGAACAAAUAGCAGGGAUGAGAGAGCAAGAACAAGCAAUAAGGAAAUCUUCACUGUAAAUUUCCUUCAGCAACCACAUAACCUGGGGAACCUCAACAUAAACAGUCUUUGGGUACAUCUGCUGUUAUAUCUUGGCACAUAAGCCUCUCUUCCUUGUCCAGUGAGAUUCUCUGCUUUACUCUGAAUGGUUCUCCUUACAACUGAUGAACAGUCUCUCAGAACACAAAAUAUGCUGCUGGGCACAGAUCCCAGGAUCAUCCUCUCUUAUGGAAAAUAUCAGUGGUCAGGCAACAAAAAUUUUCCAAGAAAUAUUAUUUUAGGAAGAGUAUUAUUUGCCUCUGUAUCACCAAAGAAGAUUCCAUUGGGACAAGUGAAAUUACAGCCUUGGGUACAACACAAGGAAAGCCCUUGCCAAUACUUAUUUGAUAGUUUCAUUUCAAUAGUUAUUUUCACAGUUUGUGAUGUUCCUGUGACUUUGUUGUCUUUAAACUGGUUUGGGAGUCCACUAGGCCUCUUUCUUUUGAAAAGUUUGUGCAAAGAAAAAUUAGUGGAAAUAAUAUAUAAAGAAGCCUGAGUGCUUUCCUCCAUAUCCAGUUUUACAGGGUGGAUCUAAUGGUGAGAUGUUGAUGCAGAGUUGUUGGUUCCUGAGAAAGCAUUUCCAAUUUUAAAUGUUAGUUAUCAAAAGCUUGUAUUUUAGUAACUUAGCUUAAAAUAAAACAUGUACUUGAGGGAUUCUUGUUUUCCAGCUGUCAGAUAGGUUGUCUUAAAAAUAUUUGCAUUCAAUAUGUGAUUAACUCCAGAAAUUUCCAUGUAGUGACUCUUUAAGUCAAAUAAAUAGUAAAAGAAUUACCAGAAUUUUCUUCACAAACAUUUCUUGCAAAAUAUAGUGUGCAGAGGGGACCUUCCUUAACAGCAAUCACCAAUCCCAGUACUUGAAAUCUGUACUGCUUAAAAACAGACAACAAAACAAACAACAACAGAUACUCAUUGUGAAUAUUAUAAUUUUUUCAUUCAGUGAUUGCUGCCACAUAAAAGUUUCUAGAAUUCAAUUAGUUGUUCAUGAAUUACACAACUUCCACAACAGCAUCUACCUGCUUGGCUUAGAUAGAAUCAUAAACUAUUUUGCCUCUGAGAACUGCUUUUCACAAGGUUGUUCUGAGCUGCAGAUUCUUUUAUAGCCUUCAGAAAAUAAAAAGACACUUUGCACUUGUGUGAAACUUUCCACCUGAGGCUCAAAAAGCUCUUCCUAACCCUUCUAUUAAAUUGCACAGUCUUUGUGGUACAAGCUAGCACCAUUAGGAUUGUACAGAUAGGGAAAAGUAGAAAAGAAAAACUCAAGACAUUUUACAUCAUCAGUCCUUAACAGAAACAGAGACUGAAGAGUAGACUAGAUUCUUAGUAUGCAUGUAAAAUAAUACAAGCAGAUUUCCAUGUAGAA